UGGGGAAUUUUGGACAAUGGGCGAAAGCCUGAUCCAGCAAUGCCGCGUGUGUGAAGAAGGCCUUCGGGUUGUAAAGCACUUUUGUCCGGAAAGAAAUCCUUGGCUCUAAUACAGUCGGGGGAUGACGGUACCGGAAGAAUAAGCACCGGCUAACUACGUGCCAGCAGCCGCGGUAAUACGUAGGGUGCAAGCGUUAAUCGGAAUUACUGGGCGUAAAGCGUGCGCAGGCGGUUUGCUAAGACCGAUGUGAAAUCCCCGGGCUCAACCUGGGAACUGCAUUGGUGACUGGCAGGCUAGAGUAUGGCAGAGGGGGUAGAAUAUCCACGUGUAGCAGUGAAAUGCGUAGAGAUGUGGAGGAAUACCGAUGGCGAAGGCAGCCCCCUGGGCCAAUACUGACGCUCAUGCACGAAAGCGUGGGGAGCAAACAGGAUUAGAUACCCUGGUAGUCCACGCCCUAAACGAUGUCAACUAGUUGUUGGGGACUUCAUUUUCCUUAGUAACGUAGCUAACGCGUGAAGUUGACCGCCUGGGGAGUACGGUCGCAAGAUUAAAACUUAAAUGAAUUGACGGGGUCAUAGCUG
rnacentral:rRNA from 1 species